CCCCUCUCAACCCCAGCAGUUCUGGCCUUUAUUUUCUUGUUCUGGCCUUGCUAAAUACCAAGCAUGGUGUUCAAAAGUCAGUGUACAAAAAUGACAGAAAACAAUGGCACUGUUCUCAGACACCUUAAGGCACAAUGGAACAGAGACACAGGUCCACUGGAUUUUGACAUUCCUCAGGAGAUAUCAGAGUUAUGCAGGAAUGCAUAAUCCACAAACUGCCAAGGAGAAACAUCAAGAAGAUUCAGAAGCUGAGCUAAUUCAAGUCUUACCCUGUUAGACCUCAAGCCAGAAAUGCCAAGUCCCCUCUUUACAGAGCCAAUUGGGACUCCCACUUUAUGCUGCAUUUAAAUUUGGAUUUGAACUUUGAAUACUGCAUCCCUGACAUAUUUUCCAAAAGUUUUAUUUUUCUGAAUCUUUGUGGUGGCUGUGCUAAAGAAGUAAUCUUUGAUAUUUGAUUUCUGAUGAAUUUUCAAUAAAUCUAAC
rnacentral:lncRNA from 1 species